rnacentral:rRNA from 1 species
UACGAAGGGGCUAGCGUUGCUCGGAAUCACUGGGCGUAAGGGUGCGUAGGCGGGUCUUUAAGUCAGGGGUGAAAUCCUGGAGCUCAACUCCAGAACUGCCUUUGAUACUGAGGAUCUUGAGUUCGGGAGAGGUGAGUGGAACUGCGAGUGUAGAGGUGAAAUUCGUAGAUAUUCGCAAGAACACCAGUGGCGAAGGCGGCUCACUGGCCCGAUACUGACGCUGAGGCACGAAAGCGUGGGGAGCAAACAGGGAU